CAAGAGCAAUGACAAUUCGACGUGCUGGAGUGUCGCAGUAUUCAUAAUUGUUUUAAAUGUAAAGCUAUCAAAGUACUUGGCCAAAACAGACGGAAAGAGCCCUCGAGUUUGGAGCUCCCCAGACGGCGAACGAAACGUGAGCUGGCCAAAGCACACACACUUUUACCAGAGCUGGCUACCUGUGUGUUGGUGUUUGUACACCUGUCAGAGCUACAACCUGCACGGGGCUAUCAGAAUUCAUUCAAAAAUUUAAAUACAAUCCAGAAGAACGAAAGGCGGUGUACUACGUGACAAUAUUUUGUGAGAAGGGGCAGAAAGUUAAAUGCAGAUCAAAGAAGACGAGAGAAGAGUCGCUAAAUCACCAAUUUGUGAUUACAAAAGUUCACGAUCGCGACGACUGCGCGGAGGUAUAGAAUGGCAUUCACCCCGUUUAUGGCAUGUGUCGCAUUAAAAGUUUGGCUUUUGCAUAAAUCAGAUCAAUAACCAUGCAAAUGGCUGAAAGGCGUUUAAUGCACAAAAUGCGCCACAGUCUGUGGAUCCCGGCGGCCCCCGACCCGAAAUCCACCCCGGCAGUCCAAUUACCACCUACGGCGAGCAACGCCGACCGCUGACAACAUAAAUAAAUAAUUAAUAAAUUAGAAUAAGACGAGGCACCCCGGCACAUGAGCCAGUUUGCGCGACAGAGCUCGUGCCACACUCGACUCAAAGCCAAGUUCAAUACCAAGUAACACGCGCUAUGCUCGAGCUUGAGAUCGGUCAGCUCAAUGAUCGAAUCGCACCGUAUGGGAUCGUAUCGUAUCGCAUCGGAUAGGCCGGGGAAAGACGCCUAGUCAUAGUUACUCACACGACCAUGCACAGAUCAUAGCCCAGAUCUGACGGAGAACAGGAAGCACGGCGGAGAUUAGACGCCUUAAAAGCCGAUCGCAAUAAAUCAAAAUUAGCAGCAUACAACUUUGGGCCAAAACACACGCCCUUUGGCCGCGUACCGCUCGCCCCGCUCGUCCCGCUCGCUCCCCCUGCCCCGCCGCCCCUGCCCCUGUCCCGCUCUGCCGCUAAGUGCAGGUUGCAAUCAAUGCCGUAAUAGCAACAACAACAGCAAUAACAACUUCCGUAUUUCAUGCGCUGUAAUUUAGCUCAAGUAACAAAAUGCAAAGCCAAACUAAAUGUUGACGGUGACGCGACACGACGCGCAACCUAAAGCUGCGAGCGGGCCACUGCACUGAGAACAAAAAUGGGUUCAAAGAAGAGUUCCAGCGGUUUGGGGGUUGAAGAACGAGUGUAACGAAAGAUCAUACAAAUUUCUUUCUUUGAGAAGGAUGUGACUUUUAUUUCUAUUUCUUAUUUAUAAAGAAUCCUUGUGUAGCAGUCUAUCUUUAAAUUAUUAGAAAUACAUCUUCAAGAUUACAGAAAGUUAUGAUUUUAGAAGUCAGUGUGAUAUAUUAUA